CUUUCAAAAUAAACGGCUCAUAUACUCGACAUAAGCAAUUGAUCCAUUCUAUCAUUGACAACGUAGCAGCGAGAACAUCGGAGCCAGGAGCAACAAAAACAUUGGAGCGGAUAAAUCAGUUUAAUAAACACGUGUACGAAUAUAUUUCAUUAGAAAUGGAUUUUCUGUUGUAUACCACUAUAGAAUAGAAAAUAAAAAUUUUAUGGUGAUGUACAUAACUGUUUUCGAAAAAAUAUACUUAAUACAUGCUUAA